rnacentral:rRNA from 1 species
ACGGGUGAGUAAUGUCUGGGAAACUGCCCGAUGGAGGGGGAUAACUACUGGAAACGGUAGCUAAUACCGCAUAACGUCGCGAGACCAAAGUGGGGGACCUUCGGGCCUCACACCAUCGGAUGUGCCCAGAUGGGAUUAGCUAGUAGGUGGGGUAACGGCUCACCUAGGCGACGAUCCCUAGCUGGUCUGAGAGGAUGACCAGCCACACUGGAACUGAGACACGGUCCAGACUCCUACGGGAGGCAGCAGUGGGGAAUAUUGCAGAAUGGGCGCAAGCCUGAUGCAGCCAUGCCGCGUGUAUGAAGAAGGCCUUCGGGUUGUAAAGUACUUUCAGCGGGGAGGAAGGCGACGUGGUUAAUAACCGCGUCGAUUGACGUUACCCGCAGAAGAAGCACCGGCUAACUCCGUGCCAGCAGCCGCGGUAAUACGGAGGGUGCAAGCGUUAAUCGGAAUUACUGGGCGUAAAGCGCACGCAGGCGGUCUGUCAAGUCGGAUGUGAAAUCCCCGGGCUUAACCUGGGAACUGCAUUCGAAACUGGCAGGCUAGAGUCUUGUAGAGGGGGGUAGAAUUCCAGGUGUA